GGUUAAGCGACUAAGCGUACACGGUGGAUGCCCUGGCAGUCAGAGGCGAUGAAGGACGUGCUAAUCUGCGAAAAGCGUCGGUAAGGUGAUAUGAACCGUUACAGCCGGCGAUGUCCGAAUGGGGAAACCCAGUGCAAUUCGUUGCACUAUCGUUAACUGAAUACAUAGGUUAACGAGGCGAACCGGGGGAACUGAAACAUCUAAGUACCCCGAGGAAAAGAAAUCAACCGAGAUUCCCCCAGUAGCGGCGAGCGAACGGGGAGCAGCCCGGAGUCUGAAUCAGCUUGUGUGUUAGUGGAAGCGUCUGGAAAGUCGCAGGGUACAGGGUGAUACUCCCGUACACUAAAACGCACAGGUUGUGAACUCGAAGAGUAGGGCGGGACACGUGGUAUCCUGUCUGAAUAUGGGGGGACCAUCCUCCAAGGCUAAAUACUCCUGACUGACCGAUAGUGAACCAGUACCGUGAGGGAAAGGCGAAAAGAACCCCGGCGAGGGGAGUGAAAAAGAACCUGAAACCGUGUACGUACAAGCAGUAGGAGCCCACUAGUUGGGUGACUGCGUACCUUUUGUAUAAUGGGUCAGCGACUUAUAUUCUGUAGCAAGGUUAACCGUAUAGGGGAGCCGCAGGGAAACCGAGUCUUAACUGGGCGUUAAGUUGCAGGGUAUAGACCCGAAACCCGGUGAUCUAGCCAUGGGCAGGUUGAAGGUUGGGUAACACUAACUGGAGGACCGAACCGACUAAUGUUGAAAAAUUAGCGGAUGACUUGUGGCUGGGGGUGAAAGGCCAAUCAAACCGGGAGAUAGCUGGUUCUCCCCGAAAGCUAUUUAGGUAGCGCCUCGUGAACUCAUCUUCGGGGGUAGAGCACUGUUUCGGCUAGGGGGUCAUCCCGACUUACCAACCCGAUGCAAACUACGAAUACCGAAGAAUGUUAUCACGGGAGACACACGGCGGGUGCUAACGUCCGUCGUGAAGAGGGAAACAACCCAGACCGCCAGCUAAGGUCCCAAAGUCAUGGUUAAGUGGGAAACGAUGUGGGAAGGCCCAGACAGCCAGGAUGUUGGCUUAGAAGCAGCCAUCAUUUAAAGAAAGCGUAAUAGCUCACUGGUCGAGUCGGCCUGCGCGGAAGAUGUAACGGGGCUAAACCAUGCACCGAAGCUGCGGCAGCGACACUAUGUGUUGUUGGGUAGGGGAGCGUUCUGUAAGCCGUUGAAGGUGGCCUGUGAGGGUUGCUGGAGGUAUCAGAAGUGCGAAUGCUGACAUAAGUAACGAUAAUGCGGGUGAAAAACCCGCACGCCGGAAGACCAAGGGUUCCUGUCCAACGUUAAUCGGGGCAGGGUGAGUCGACCCCUAAGGCGAGGCCGAAAGGCGUAGUCGAUGGGAAACAGGUUAAUAUUCCUGUACUCGGUGUUACUGCGAAGGGGGGACGGAGAAGGCUAUGUUGGCCGGGCGACGGUUGUCCCGGUUUAAGCAUGUAGGCGGAUGUUCCAGGUAAAUCCGGAACGUUACUAACGCUGAGGUGUGAUGACGAGGCACUACGGUGCUGAAGUGACAAAUGCCCUGCUUCCAGGAAAAGCCUCUAAGCAUCAGGUAACAUCAAAUCGUACCCCAAACCGACACAGGUGGUCAGGUAGAGAAUACCAAGGCGCUUGAGAGAACUCGGGUGAAGGAACUAGGCAAAAUGGUGCCGUAACUUCGGGAGAAGGCACGCUGAUGGUAGGUGAAGUGACUUGCUCAUGGAGCUGAAAUCAGUCGAAGAUACCAGCUGGCUGCAACUGUUUAUUAAAAACACAGCACUGUGCAAACACGAAAGUGGACGUAUACGGUGUGACGCCUGCCCGGUGCCGGAAGGUUAAUUGAUGGGGUUAUCCGUAAGGAGAAGCUCUUGAUCGAAGCCCCGGUAAACGGCGGCCGUAACUAUAACGGUCCUAAGGUAGCGAAAUUCCUUGUCGGGUAAGUUCCGACCUGCACGAAUGGCGUAAUGAUGGCCAGGCUGUCUCCACCCGAGACUCAGUGAAAUUGAACUCGCUGUGAAGAUGCAGUGUACCCGCGGCAAGACGGAAAGACCCCGUGAACCUUUACUAUAGCUUGACACUGAACACUGGUCCUUGAUGUGUAGGAUAGGUGGGAGGCUUUGAAGUGUGGACGCCAGUCUGCAUGGAGCCAUCCUUGAAAUACCACCCUUUAAUGGCUGGUGUUCUAACGUGGGCCCCUAAUCGGGGUUGCGGACAGUGUCUGGUGGGUAGUUUGACUGGGGCGGUCUCCUCCUAAAGAGUAACGGAGGAGCACGAAGGUCAGCUAAUCCUGGUCGGACAUCAGGAGGUUAGUGCAAUGGCAUAAGCUGGCUUGACUGCGAGCGUGACGGCGCGAGCAGGUGCGAAAGCAGGUCAUAGUGAUCCGGUGGUUCUGAAUGGAAGGGCCAUCGCUCAACGGAUAAAAGGUACUCCGGGGAUAACAGGCUGAUACCGCCCAAGAGUUCAUAUCGACGGCGGUGUUUGGCACCUCGAUGUCGGCUCAUCACAUCCUGGGGCUGAAGUAGGUCCCAAGGGUAUGGCUGUUCGCCAUUUAAAGUGGUACGCGAGCUGGGUUUAGAACGUCGUGAGACAGUUCGGUCCCUAUCUGCCGUGGGCGCUGGAGAAUUGAGGGGGGCUGCUCCUAGUACGAGAGGACCGGAGUGGACGCAUCACUGGUGUUCGGGUUGUCAUGCCAAUGGCAUUGCCCGGUAGCUAAAUGCGGAAGAGAUAAGUGCUGAAAGCAUCUAAGCACGAAACUUGCCCCGAGAUGAGUUCUCCCUGACCCUUUAAGGGUCCUGAAGGAACGUUGAAGACGACGACGUUGAUAGGCCGGGUGUGUAAGCGCAGCGAUGCGUUGAGCUAACCGGUACUAAUGAACCGUGAGGCUUAACCUU
rnacentral:rRNA from 1 species